rnacentral:rRNA from 1 species
GAUUACAGCCGUACCACCCAGAACACGCCAGAUCUUAUCUGAUGUCAGAAGCAGAGUUGGGUUUGGUUAGUACUUGGAUGGGAGACUACCUGGGAAUACCAGGUGUGUACA